rnacentral:rRNA from 1 species
AGCGAACGCUGGCGGCAGGCCUAACACAUGCAAGUCGAACGAAGUCUUCGGACUUAGUGGCGGACGGGUGAGUAACACGUGGGAACGUACCUUUUGGUUCGGAACAACUCAGGGAAACUUGAGCUAAUACCGGAUGAGCCCUUAGGGGGAAAGAUUUAUCGUCGAAAGAGCGGCCCGCGGUAGAUUAGCUAGUUGGUGAGGUAAAGGCUCACCAAGGCUACGAUCUAUAGCUGGUCUGAGAGGAUGAUCAGCCACACUGGGACUGAGACACGGCCCAGACUCCUACGGGAGGCAGCAGUGGGGAAUCUUGCGCAAUGGGCGAAAGCCUGACGCAGCCAUGCCGCGUGAAUGAUGAAGGUCUUAGGAUUGUAAAAUUCUUUUACCAGGGACGAUAAUGACGGUACCUGGAGAAAAAGCCCCGGCUAACUUCGUGCCAGCAGCCGCAGUAAAAC